rnacentral:rRNA from 1 species
GACGAACGCUGGCGGCGUGCUUAACACAUGCAAGUCGAACGGAAAGGCCCCUUUGGGGGUACUUGAGUGGCGAACGGGUGAGUAACACGUGAGUAACCUGCCCUUGACUUCGGGAUAGCUUCAGGAAACUGGGGCUAAUACCGGAUAGGAAUCCUUGCUGCAUGGUGGGGGUUGGAAAGCUUCGGCGGUUUUGGAUGGACUCGCGGCUUAUCAGCUUGUUGGUGGGGUAGUGGCUUACCAAGGCUUUGACGGGUAGCCGGCCUGAGAGGGCGACCGGCCACAUUGGGACUGAGAUACGGCCCAGACUCCUACGGGAGGCAGCAGUGGGGAAUAUUGCACAAUGGGCGGAAGCCUGAUGCAGCAACGCCGCGUGCGGGAUGACGGCCUUCGGGUUGUAAACCGCUUUCAGCAGGGGCGAAGCUUUUGUGACGGUACCUGCAGAAGAAGCACCGGCUAACUACGUG